rnacentral:rRNA from 1 species
AUUGAACGCUGUCGGCAGGCCUAACACAUGCAAGUCGAGCGAGCGGCGGACGGGUGAGUAAUGUAUGGGGACUGCCCGAUAGAGGGCGAUAACUACUGGAAAAGGUAGCUAAUACCGCAUACUAUCGGAUAACCCAUAGGGGAUUAGCUAGUAGGUGAGGUAAUGGCUCACCUAGGCGACGAGCCCUAGCUGGUCUGAGAGGAUGACCAGCCACACUUGAACUGAGACACGGCCCAGACUCCGACGGAGGCAGCAGUGGGGAAUAGUGCACAAUGGGCGCAAGCCUGAUGCAGCCAUGCCGCGUGUAUGAAGAAGGCCUUCGGGUUGUAAAGUACUUUCAGUCGGGAGGCGUGACCGACAGAAGAAGCACCGGCUAACUCCGUGCCAGCAGCCGCGGUAAUUC